UACGGAGGGGGCUAGCGUUGUUCGGAAUUACUGGGCGUAAAGCGCGCGUAGGCGGAUCUGCAAGUCGGGGGUGAAAUCCCGAGGCUCAACCUCGGAACUGCCUUCGAUACUGCGGGUCUCGAGUCCGGGAGAGGUGAGUGGAAUUCCGAGUGUAGAGGUGAAAUUCGUAGAUAUUCGGAAGAACACCAGUGGCGAAGGCGACUCGCUGGACAAGUAUUGACGCUGAGGUGCGAAAGCGUGGGGAGCAAACAGG
rnacentral:rRNA from 1 species